rnacentral:rRNA from 1 species
GACGAACGCUGGCGGCGUGCCUAACACAUGCAAGUCGAGCGGAGAUGUACUGAAGAUUUAUCGGAUGUACAUCUUAGCGGCGGACGGGUGAGUAACGCGUGGGCAACCUGCCUUUCACUGGGGGAUAACACAGGGAAACCUGUGCUAAUACCGCAUGACAUCACGUAGGGCAUCCUAUGUGAUCAAAGGAGAGAUCCGGUGGAAGAUGGGCCCGCGUCCAAUUAGCUGGUUGGUGGGGUAACGGCCUACCAAGGCGACGAUCAGUAGCCGACCUGAGAGGGUGAUCGGCCACAUUGGAACUGAGACACGGUCCAAACUCCUACGGGAGGCAGCAGUGGGGAAUAUUGCACAAUGGGCGAAAGCCUGAUGCAGCAACGCCGCGUGAGCGAAGAAGGCCUUUGGGUCGUAAAGCUCUGUCGGGUAGGAAGAUAAUGACGGUACUACCCGAGGAAGCCCCGGCUAACUACGUGCCAGCAGCCGCGGUAAUCAUA